rnacentral:rRNA from 1 species
UCCGUAGGUGAACCUGCGGAGGGAUCAUUACCGAGUGGAUCGCCUCCGGGCGUGACCUCCAACCCCAUUGUAAUCCGACUCUGUUGCCUCCGGGGCGACCCUGCCUUCGGGCGGGGGCUCCGGGUGGACACUUCAAACUCUUGCGUAACUUUGCAGUCUGAGUAAACUUAAUUAAUAAAUUAAAACUUUUAACAACGGAUCUCUUGGUUCUGGCAUCGAUGAAGAACGCAGCGAAAUGCGAUAAGUAAUGUGAAUUGCAGAAUUCAGUGAAUCAUCGAAUCUUUGAACGCGCAUUGCGCCCUUUGGUAUUCCGAAGGGCAUGCCUGUUCGAGCGUCAUUUCACCACUCAAGCCUAGCUUGGUAUUGGGCGCCGCGGUUUUCCGCGCGCCUCAAAGUUUCCGGCUGAGCUGUCCGUCUCUAAGCGUUGUGAUACAUAUUCGCUUCGGAGUGCGGGCGGUCGCGGCCGUUAAAUCUUUCACAAGGUUGACCUCGGAUCAGGUAGGGAUACCCGCUGAACUUAAGCAUAUCAAUAAGCGGAGGA